GCCCUGAUAGCUCAGUUGGUAGAGCAAAGGACUGAAAAUCCUUGUGUCCCUGGUUCGAGUCCGGGUCGGGGCA
rnacentral:tRNA from 1 species